rnacentral:rRNA from 1 species
GGCUGCACAAUUUAUAACUGUACAAAGGUAGCAUAAUAAUUUGUUUUUUAAUUAAAAACUAGAAUGAACGAUUAAAUGAAAUAUAAACUGUUUCAAUUAAAUAAAAAUUUAAAUUUUUAUUUAAGUUAAAAAACUUAAAUAAAUUUAAAAGACGACAAGACCCUAUAGAAUUUUAUUUAUUUUUUUAAAUUAAAAAUUAAUUAAUUUAUUUAAUUUUAAAAAAUAAAUUUAAUUGGGGUAAUUUAAAAAUUUAAAAAAUUUUUUUUUUAUAAAACAAUAAUUAUUGAAUAUAAUAUCUUAAAAUUUAAAAUAUUAAAAUUAAUUACCUUAGGGAUAACAGCAUAAUUUUUUUUAAAAAAUCUUAUU